rnacentral:rRNA from 1 species
UACGUAGGGUGCGAGCGUUGUCCGGAAUUAUUGGGCGUAAAGGGCUCGUAGGCGGUUUGUCGCGUCGGGAGUGAAAACCAUGGGCUUAACUCAUGGCUUGCUUUCGAUACGGGCAGACUAGAGGUAUGCAGGGGAGAACGGAAUUCCUGGUGUAGCGGUGAAAUGCGCAGAUAUCGGGAGGAACACCAAUGGCGAAGGCAGCUCGCUGGGACGGUACUGACGCUGAGGCGCGAAAGCGUGGGGAGCAAACAGG